rnacentral:rRNA from 1 species
AUUGAACGCUGGCGGCAGGCCUAACACAUGCAAGUCGAACGAGUGGCGGACGGGUGAGUAAUGUCUGGGACACCGCCAGAGGGAGGGGGAAAACCACUAGACACGGUAUCUAAUACCGCAUACUAUCGGAUGUGCCCAGAUGGGAUUAGCGAGUAGGUGGGGUAACGGCUCACCUAGGCGACGAUCCCUAGCUGGUCUGAGAGGAUGCCCAGCCACACUGGAACUGAGACACGGUCCAGACUCCUACGGGAGGCAGCAGUGGGGAAUAUUGCACAAUGGGCGCAAGCCUGAUGCAGCCAUGCCGCGUGUAUGAAGAAGGCCUUCGGGUUGUAAAGUACUUUCAGCGGGGAGGCGUUACCCGCAGAAGAAGCACCGGCUAACUCCGUGCCAGCAGCCGCGGUAAUAC